rnacentral:rRNA from 1 species
CAGCCGCCACGGUAAUACGUAGGUGGCAAGCGUUGUCCGGAAUUAUUGGGCGUAAAGCGCGCGCAGGCGGAUCAGUUAGUCUGUCUUAAAAGUUCGGGGCUUAACCCCGUGAUGGGAUGGAAACUGCUGAUCUAGAGUAUCGGAGAGGAAAGUGGAAUUCCUAGUGUAGCGGUGAAAUGCGUAGAUAUUAGGAAGAACACCAGUGGCGAAGGCGACUUUCUGGGCGAAAACUGACGCUGAGGCGCGAAAGCCAGGGGAGCGAACGGGAUUAGAUACCCCUGUAGUCCCUGUCUCUUAUACA